ensembl:lincRNA
CCCUUUAAGAGCUGGGCACGACCUUGUCCACUGUGACCUUCAGGGCCAGCCUGCACCCCCAGGGCCAAGGCUGUGCUGAUGUUCUGACAUUUCCAUGGUGACCCAUCAUGCCCGCCCACCGUGACCCGGUGCCCAGAAUCCGUCAAUGAGUCAUCUAUUAACAGACUCUCGAGGCCGCAGCUGGCCUGGGCCUGGAUGUGGUCACCUCAGACCCAAAAUGGAGGCCUCCUGGGGAUGGAGGCCUCCAUUCCACUGGAGGUCCAGUGUCCCCGAAAAGAUUCUAAAAUUCUAAACCCAGGAACCUGGAAAUACCCGCAUAGGUGGAAGCUCCGGCUGAUAACGGAGGGUCCAGGGCAGAGGAUGUGAUGAAGUUAAGGAUUGUGGGGAGGAGCUUAUCCUGCAUUAUCCCCCUGGGUCCUAAAAGCCUCAUUUGUGUCUUCGUAAGAGAGAGGCAGGAGAAGGUGAUGCUGGGCCACAUGAAGAUGGAGCAGAUUCAGAUGAGGCCACAGCAAAGGGACGCCAGGAGCCAGGAGACGCUGGCUGAGACAAGGGUGCAUCCGUUCCCAGAGCCUUUGGAAGGAGUGUGGCUGCCACCCGGACUUUGGACUUGUGGCCUCCAGACCGAGGAGGCCACCCAGCGUGUGGCGCUUGGCCAGCUGCCCCGGGGGCACAGACAUGGGAGUGCUGACCUCUGCACCUCUGAUCUCCUGCUGUCCCGGCUGGUGUUUGCUGCUCUCCUGCCCACCUGGCCGAGCACAUUCCCCACGUCUCUUCCGUGCCCGUCUCUGUGCCCAGACACCCAACAGCGAGCUGUCCCCAAAGGUAAAAGCAAGAAGCAUAUCUGUCACCGGGCACACACUGUCCCCAGCUGCUGCGUGUGUGGAACACCCUCCUCGUGGGCAGCUGCAUGAGGGACAGACAAGAGCUCUGAGAAGGGACCGUCCUCCUGGCCCCAGCUCCUCAGACAGCGAAACUUUCCAUUUUCAGGGUCCAUCAUGCACCAGUGAGUCAAGUCAUUGUGGUGUGGACAUGGGGACAGACAGACUGGUCAGCAGGACAGAACAGGAAUCCCAGAGAUAUCCCCAGAUCAUCUUUGUCAAAGGCACAAAAAUGCAUCAGCAGGAAAGACAACAAUGGUACUGGGCAGACACCCACGGGCAAAAUGUGGGCCUUGACCUGUGUCUCACGCCUUGCACAGAAAUUAACUCGGGGCUGGUUGCAGAUUAACUGCAAAGGGUAAAUGAUAAAACUUAACAAAAAUUCACAGGAUCCCAGGUUAGGGGGAAAUUUUAAAUAUGGCAAUGGAGGUACAACCCACAAGAGGAAAGAUGGGUGAACCAGACUUCAAAAUUAAAACUUCUGCUCUGGAAAAAGUCUUGUGCAGUGCUGGCUUUGACACACAUAUACUAAAAAGCCUUGCACCCGGGGUGAAAGGCCAUGCUGCAGAGGAUGAGGGUGUUUGCAAACCACUUACCCGACGAAGGACAGGAACCUGGAAUAUGCAGAGAACUCUCAGAACCCAGCACUUGGGAGGCUGAGGCAGGAGAAUCACUGUGAGUAGAGGCCAGCCUGAGCUACAUAGUCAGUUCAAGGCCAGCCUGAACUACGUAGCGAGACGC